UACAACAUAGAAUUAUUGCACCAGAUCCCAUUAUAAUUUCGUAGUUAAGUGCGCUUAGGCUAGAGUAGUACUGGGUUGGGUGACCACUGGGGAAGUCCUGGUGUUUUAU
rfam:Picea glauca, whole genome shotgun sequence.